CGCGCAUCGCCCGGAUUUCUCCGGGGUUCGUCGGGGCGUACCUGGCGAAUCUAGUCAACGAAGCCGCCCUGCUCGCCGCCAGGGCCAAUAAAACCAAAGUCACCAUGAGGGAGUUUGAAGAAGCCAUCGAGCGGGUUGUGGCCGGGCUGGAAAAACAAGGCCGGGUCAUCCACGAAGAUGAGAAAGCCCGCGUCUCCUACCACGAAUGCGGCCAUGCCCUCGUGGCGUGCAGCCUGCCCCACACCGACCCCGUUCAUAAAAUCUCCAUCAUUCCGCGCGGGAUGGGUUUGGGCUACACCUUGCACUUCCCGGAGGAUGAACGGCAACUGGCCACCAAGACCGAGUUGCAAAACAAGAUCUGUUGCCUGUUGGGCGGGAUUGCCGCGGAGGAGAUCGUGUAUCAGGAGACCUCCACCGGGGCGCAAAACGAUUUGCAGCGCGCCACUACGAUUGCCCGCCGGAUGGUCACGGACUUCGGCAUGAGCGAAAAACUGGGCUGGAUGCACUACAGCGAAUCCUCGCGCGGCGCGUUCCUGGCGGGACAAGCCGGGCCGGGCGAAGUCACGCACAGCGAGCAGACCAUCCGGGAAAUCGAUCUGGAAGUGAAAGCCAUCAUUCAAGAAUCGUCCCAGAUCGCGGUGGAAAUUCUGCGGACUCACCGCGAGGUCUUGGAUCACAUGGCCCGCGAGCUUUUGGAGUGCGAAACGAUGGAUGCGGACCACUUGAAGCGCAUUCUGGAUGCGCACAAAACCAGCCCGAAACUCAGUCUGGGCACGCACAUCAAGCACGGAGCCGAUCAACUCGAAAUCCGCCCCGUGGACUCCGAACUGGACCACCGCGAAUCCAGCAGCGGCUAGCUGAAAUCCGAAGCGCGAAAUCCGAAAUCCGAAACAAUGUCAAUACCCGUAACACUUUAGCCGACUGGUAAGCAAGGCAUUUUAACGCAAAGAUCGCUAAGCAAAGACGCAAAGUCCGCAAAGAAAAGAACAAGGCCAUUGAAAGCCAGAUCGACUUUCCGUGCCGAAAUGCGCAUCUCAGAAAACCUGGAUUUGCACGGUUCUUUGCGUCUUCUCUUUGCGGUCUUUGCGUUAAUCAUUUGGGGUCACUGCCGAGUGCUUUGAGAUUCCUCUUCCCAUUUCGGGGAAGAUCGCAUACAACCCCCCGCGUUCGUGACCUCAUCGCGGACUCCAAUCUUUAAUCCAAUCUAGUUUUUCAUGUCCGAUUCAGCACGAGAUUCCGCUCGUGGCAGCACGCUGCAUCAGCCGGUUUUGCUUCGCGAAGUCAUCAAAGCUCUCGAACUUGAACCGGGGAUGGUCGUGGUGGAUGGAACCGUGGGAGCCGCGGGCCAUAGCCGAAAAAUCCUGGAACGCAUCGGCGAAACAGGACGCCUUAUCGGUCUGGACCGCGACCCGAUGAUGCUCAAACUUGCGGAAGCCCGGCUCAAUCAAACCAACUGUGAUUUAAGACAAGCCAGUUACGUGGAAAUGCCUCGGAUUCUCAUGGAAUGGGAUCUGGGCGAAGUGGACCGCGUCUUACUGGACCUGGGUUUGUCGUCCGACCAAUUGGCGGACGGGACGCGCGGGUUCGCGUUCGCCGCGGAAGGACCGUUGGAUUUGCGAUUCUAUACCACGCAGGGGCAGCCCGCCUGGGAAUGGAUUGCGAAUCAGACGGAAGAGAAACUUACCUUUGUUCUGGAGACUUUCGGCGAGGAACGCUUUAGCAAAGCCAUUGCCCAAGAACUGGUCAACCGGCGGAAAACCCAGCCUGUUCAAUCGGCGGCGGAUUUAGUGUCCGCCGUGGAGAAGGCCGUUCCCGAACCCGCGAAGCGCUCGGCCCGGAAACAUCCCGCAACCCUGGUGUUUCAGGCCUUAAGAAUCGCGGUCAAUCAGGAACUCGAGCAGGUGGAAACCGCUUUGAACCAGACGUUGCCCCAGGUCUUAAAACCGGGGGGCCUGGCCGUGGUCAUCACGUUUCAUUCGCUGGAAGAUCGAAUUGUCAAGGACGCAUUUCGGGACCAAAGCCGAUGGCAGAAUCUCACGCCUCACCCCAUAAUCGCCACGCCCACCGAACAACGAAUCAACCCCCGCUCGCGGACAGCCAAGCUGCGGGCGGCACGGAAACCUCCCCGGGCGGAGGAGACAACCGCAUCGCCUCACACAGUUCCCAACUCAAGGGACUGACGGCCAGCGUCGGGAAGUCUGCGCCGCCGGAGGGAAGCCAUCCGCUCACUCAGAGUGCGGACGGCACGCCCGCGCCAGCCCAUCCGGAAUCCGGUCCGGCGUCGGACACAGGAAGCGAAGCGGACUGGGGCAUCGCCCCGCCGAGCACCGGCAUGUCGCGGGAAACCAAAAUGGGUUUCGCCUUUGUGUUCGUGCUGUUGGUGGUGUUUGGCUUCGUCGUUUACAAAAAAGUGGGGCACAACCGGGCCGAGCGCGGAGACUUGCUGGCCGGCAUUCAGAAGGAAGAAGAAGUCGCAAACUCUGUCGCGCCUCCCGUGGUACCCACAACCACCGCGCAGAGUCCCAUCGCGGAGAAUCACUUGCCGCCCGCUCAAGGGGGCGAUCCCUUCCCGGAAGCUCAGCCGGU
rnacentral:misc_RNA from 1 species